GAUGAACGCUGGCGGCGUGCCUAAUACAUGCAAGUCGAGCGAAUGGAUUAAGAGCUUGCUCUUAUGAAGUUAGCGGCGGACGGGUGAGUAACACGUGGGUAACCUGCCCAUAAGACUGGGAUAACUCCGGGAAACCGGGGCUAAUACCGGAUAACAUUUUGAACCGCAUGGUUCGAAAUUGAAAGGCGGCUUCGGCUGUCACUUAUGGAUGGACCCGCGUCGCAUUAGCUAGUUGGUGAGGUAACGGCUCACCAAGGCAACGAUGCGUAGCCGACCUGAGAGGGUGAUCGGCCACACUGGGACUGAGACACGGCCCAGAAUCCUACGGGAGGCAGCAGUAGGGAAUCUUCCGCAAUGGACGAAAGUCUGACGGAGCAACGCCGCGUGAGUGAUGAAGGCUUUCGGGUCGUAAAACUCUGUUGUUAGGGAAGAACAAGUGCCAGUUGAAUAAGCUGGCACCUUGACGGUACCUAACCAGAAAGCCACGGCUAACUACGUGCCAGCCGCCGCGGUAA
rnacentral:rRNA from 1 species